GCAGGCGCGAAACCUUUACACUGCACGACAGUGCGAUAGGGGGAUCCCAAGUGCACAGGCAUAGCGCCUGUGCUUUUCGGUACCCUAAGGCGGUACCAGAAUAAGGGCUGGGCAAGACCGGUGCCAGCCGCCGCGGUAAUACCGGCAGCCCAAGUGAUGGCCGAUCUUAUUGGGCCUAAAGCGUCCGUAGCUGGCCGUACAAGUCCAUCGGGAAAUCCACCUGCUCAACAGGUGGGCGCCCGGUAGAAACUGUGCGGCUUGGGACCGGAAGGCGCGACGGGUACGUCCGGGGUAGGAGUGAAAUCCCGUAAUCCUGGACGGACCGCCGAUGGCGAAAGCACGUCGCGAGAACGGAUCCGACAGUGAGGGACGAAAGCCAGGGUCUCGAACCGGGUUAGAUACCCGGGUAGUCCUGGCCGUAAACAAUGUCUGCUAGGUGUGGCUCCCACUACGAGUGGGUGCUGUGCCGUAGGGAAGCCGCUAAGCAGACCGCCUGGGAAGUACGUCCGCAAGGAUGAAACUUAAAGGAAUUGGCGGGGGAGCACUACAACCGGAGGAGCCUGCGGUUUAAUUGGAUUCAACGCCGG
rnacentral:rRNA from 1 species